rnacentral:tRNA from 1 species
GAAACUUAGGAUAACCAAACCAAACCGAAGGCCUUCAAAGCCUUAAAUAAGAGUUGAAACUCUUAGUUUCUGC